GAAUUACGUAUGGAAAUUGCAAAACAAGAAUUAAUCGCUCAUGCCCGGGAAGCAGCAUCCAGGGUCCUGAGUGCACUGAGUGACCGGCAGAUGUCAGAACGGAUGGCCUUGGAUGCCCGGAAGCGUGAGCAGUUUCAGAGGCUGAAAGAACAAUUUGUGAAGGACCAGGAGGUGGGUAGGACCUGUCCCUGCGGGGUCACGCCUGUCAGUUCUGAUUUCACAGGCCAGGCUCUAUGUGUUUUAUAGCGACGCCAGGCGGCCAGGCAGGAGGAGCUGGAUGAUGACUUCAGCUACGCCCGUGAACUCCGAGACAGGGAGAGGAGGCUGAAGUCCCUGGAGGAGGAGCUGGAGAGGAAGGCGAGGCACUGGUCGACCACUACAGCAAGCUCUCUGCAGAGGCAGCUCGUCGGGAGCAGAAGGCACUGUGGAGAAUCCAGAGGCACCGACUGGAGAGUGCACGGCUUCGUUUUCUCUUAGAAGAUGAGAAACACAUUCAGGAGAUGCUGAAAGCAGUGUCUGAGGCUCACCAGCCCCAGGAGCCGCCAGACGUCCUCUUGAGCGUGCACCCCCAGGUCACGUCUCCAGGCCCUGAGCACCCAGAGGGAGGCCAAGGCUGUGAUUCUGGGUCUGCAGAGCAACACUCGCCUGCCUGGGAUGGCCGGAACAGGCCAGGCCUGCUGACCCCAC
rnacentral:sRNA from 1 species